GCCCAGGUGGCGGAAUUGGUAGACGCGCACGGUUCAGGUCCGUGUACCGCAAGGUGUGGAAGUUCGAGUCUUCUCCUGGGCACCA
rnacentral:tRNA from 3 species